CCUGGGGGACGGUGACCUCUGCCCCGGGGUGCCUGGAGUGUGGGUGUGAUGUCUCCUGGCUGGGUAGUGUUCAUUAGAGGCUCCUCGGGGCAGGGGAGUACCAGGUGGCGAUCUGCUGGCACUGCUUCCACCUGCCCGCGGGGAGGUGGUGGUGUCUUCUGGGUGGAUGAGUGCCUGGCAGUCAUGUGACUCGAACGUGACCUCGGAGACCAACAUCCAGCGAAGAGCGAAGAACAGCUGCAGCCUCACCGUCCUUGCUGUCACGUUCGGGAGCUGGAUGGUCACGUUCCGGGCGUUCUCGAAGAUCCGGUCAACCGCGUACUCGAAAUGGACAGGAACGCCCAAGAAAGGAAGGAAGGAAGGAAGAGAGAAAGGAAGGAAAAAAGGAGAGAGAUAAAGGAGAUUUGUAAGCCGUUCACCACAAGACGUUCACCAUACGGGCAUUCACCACACGGGCAUACACCGCACGGGCGUUUGUCGCAUGGGCGUUCAUCCCACGGGCGUUCACCACACACAGAGAUGUUCACCACACAACCGUUCAGCCAGUCUCAGAUUGCAACAUGGAUAAUUUGAGUUGACGGCUUCAAGGAUGAGUUUCGAUGCCUAUAUAUGCGUUGACAGACACAGACACGGUUGUAAAUAAAUGUAAUAAAG